rnacentral:rRNA from 1 species
UGAAAAUGGAUGGCGCUGUAGCGUCGUGCCUAUACUCGGCCGUCAACGGCACAGGGGGCGGCACCUUCGCCGGUGCCGGGCCGUUACGCCUUGACGAGUAGGAGGGUCGCGGCGAUGAGCGCAGAAGGGUCUGGGCGUGAGCCUGCCUGGAGCCGUCGUCGGCGCAGAUCUUGGUGGUAGUAGCAAAUACUCCAGCGAGGACCUGGAGGACUGACGUGGAGAAGGGUUUCUUGUGAACAGCUGUUGCACAAGAGUCAGUCGAUCCUAAGCCCUAGGAGAAAUCCUAUGUCGAUGGGGAGCCGUUGAAAUUGACGGCGUGCCCAGCUGCCCAGCGAGCACGCUCGAUACGUAGAAGGCGACCCACGGGGCGAAAGGGAAUCCGGUUCCUAUUCCGGAACCCGGCUGCGGUACCGUUCAUAAGCGGGCCCUCGUCCGAGAGCUCGACGGGGCAACCCGAAGAGACCCGGAGACGCCGGCGGGAGGUCCGGAGAGAGUUUUCUUUUCUCUAUAAGCGUUCGAGUUCCCUGGAAGCCUAUAGCAGGGAGAUAGGGUUUGGAACGCGAAGAGCACCGCAGUUGCGGCGGUGUCCGGAUCUUCCCCUCGGACCUUGAAAAUCCGGGAGAGGGCUACGCGGAAUGUCCGCGCCGGAUCGUACCCAUAUCCGCAGCAGGUCUCCAAGGUUAAGAGCCUCUAGUCGAUAGAAUAAUGUAGGUAAGGGAAGUCGGCAAACUUGAUCCGUAACUUCGGAAAAAGGAUUGGCUCUGAGGAUCGGGGCGUGUCGGGCUUGGUCGGGAAGCGGGUUUGUGCCAACGUGCCGGGCCUGGGCGAGGUGAACGGGACAUAAUCCUGGGAUCUGAGCUCGGUCCCGUGCCUUGGCCUCCCGCGGAUCUUCCUUGCUGCGAGGUGUUUACUGUCUGUCGCGGGUAAACCACCAUCCGGUGGCCCCGAAGGACGGGUUUCCUACCUCUUCGGCCGCCAUUCAACGAUCAACUCAGAACUGGCACGGACCGGGGGAAUCCGACUGUCUAAUUAAAACAAAGCAUUGCGAUGGCCCCAGAGGGUGCUGACGCAAUGUGAUUUCUGCCCAGUGCUCUGAAUGUCAACGUGAAGAAAUUCAAAAAAGCGCGGGUAAACGGCGGGAGUAACUAUGACUCUCUUAAGGUAGCCAAAUGCCUCGUCAUCUAAUUAGUGACGCGCAUGAAUGGAUUAACGAGAUUCCCGCUGUCCCUAUCUACUAUCUAGCGAAACCACUGCCAAGGGAA